rnacentral:rRNA from 1 species
UCUGUUUGUAGUUAUAAAAAGUCUGACCUGCCCACUGAUAAUAAUUAUUUAAUGGCCGCAGUAUUAUGACUGUGCAAAGGUAGCGUAAUCAUUAGGUUUUUAAAUGGGAUCUUGUAUGAAUGGUUGAACAAAAGAGAGGCUGUCUUUAUAUUAAAUUUUAAAUUUUACUUUUAAGUGAAAAGGCUUGAAUGUUCUAGUGGGACGAUAAGACCCUAUAAAACUUUAUAUUGUAAUUAUAUUUAAUUAAAGUUUGUUAAAGUAAAGGUUUAAUAUAAUUAUUUAUUAUGUUGGGGUGACAAAGGUAUAAAUAAUAAUAACUCUUAUAAAAUAAACAUUUAUUUGUGAAAAUAAUAAUAAAUCCUGGUUUAAGAAUUAAGUUUAAGUUACUUUAGGGGUAACAGUGUAAUUUUUUUUGAGAGUUCGUAUCGAAAAAAAAGUUUUUAACCUCGAUGUUGAAUUAAAAUGUCUAUACAAUGUAGUUAUUGUAUAAGAAGGUCUGUUCGCCCUUUAUAA